GCGGGUAUAGUUUAGUGGUAAAACCUAGC
rnacentral:tRNA from 2 species